ensembl:ncRNA F58H1.12 ncRNA
GAACUUCCAAAAAACUCAAAUGGCUAUUCUGGACGCCUUGCUAUCUUCUCUACUUGGAGAACCAGAAAACGAAAAGAAAAAAGUUGCGAAUCAGUUAUUUGAGUGGUCCGGACUGCUGGACGAGUGGUGU